AACGUUAGCCGACAACUUGUUAAAUAUAUUUUUUGAUUUUGAUUUGACUCGAACUGUAACUCCAGAGCCCUAGAGAUAGUAAGAGUUGCGACACUCCCAUAGGGUGCCGUUGUACGCUUUCUUUCAGUCUACGUCCGGGUUGUGGAGGCUUGUUUAGUUCCAAGCACCGCUUCGACAGUGAUAGCCACCGUUCAUUUGCACUGCAGGUUGUUGAGUAUAUGUGGAGUAUCCCGAGAGCCCUCACUGAAGACACGAAGACCCUCAUUGUUUCUCCCAUUGUCAAUAAAACAUACUAUUUCAUUCAUCAAA